rnacentral:rRNA from 1 species
UAAGAACUUACCAAACCAUUGCAAACUCCGAAUACUGAGAAAUGCAAUUACGGGAGACAGUCCAUGGGUGCUAACGUCCGUGGACAAGAGGGAAACAACCCAGACCGACAGCUAAGGUCCCAAAUGACGUGCUAAGUGGAAAACGAAGUGGGAAGGCAUAGACAGCCAGGAUGUUGGCUUAGAAGCAGCCAUCAUUUAAAGAAAGCGUAAUAGCUCACUGGUCGAGUCGUCCUGCGCGGAAGAUGUAACGGGGCUAAGCACGUAACCGAAGCUUCGGAUACUAGUUUACUAGUAUGGUAGGAGAGCGUUCUGUAGGCCUGCGAAGGUGUUCUGUGAGGAAUGCUGGAGGUAUCAGAAGUGCGAAUGCUGACAUGAGUAGCGAUAAAGGGAGUGAAAAGCUCCCUCGCCGAAAGCCCAAGGUUUCCUGCGCAACGUUCAUCGGCGCAGGGUGAGUCGGCCCCUAAGGUGAGGCAGAGAUGCGUAGCUGAUGGGAAACAGGUUAAUAUUCCUGUACCUCUAUACAAUGCGAUGUGGGGACGGAGAAGGUUAGGUCAGCCGGGUGUUGGAUGUCCCGGUUCAAGCGUGUAGUCAGAUUCCUUAGGCAAAUCCGGGGAGUCAAUGACGAGGCGUGAUAACGAGCGUACUUGUACGUGAAGUGAUUGAUACCAUGCUUCCAAGAAAAGCCACUAAGCUUCAGUUGUAUAAGACCGUACCGCAAACCGACACAGGUGGGCAGGAUGAGAAUUCUAAGGCGCUUGAGAGAACCCGGGAGAAGGAACUCGGCAAAUUAGCACCGUAACUUCGGGAGAAGGUGCGCCCCGGUAACGUGUAGAGACUUGCUCUUGAAGCGUGAUGGGGUUGCAGUGAAAAGGUGGCUGCGACUGUUUAAUAAAAACACAGCACUCUGCAAACACGAAAGUGGACGUAUAGGGUGUGACGCCUGCCCGGUGCUGGAAGAUUAAAUGAUGGGGUGCGAGCUCUUGAUUGAAGUCCCAGUAAACGGCGGCCGUAACUAUAACGGUCCUAAGGUAGCGAAAUUCCUUGUCGGGUAAGUUCCGACCCGCACGAAUGGCGUAACGAUGGCCACACUGUCUCCUCUCGGGACUCAGCGAAGUUGAAAUGUUUGUGAAGAUGCAAUCUACCCGCGGCUAGACGGAAAGACCCCAUGAACCUUUACUGUAGCUUUACAUUGGACUUUGACAAGAUUUGUGUAGGAUAGGUGGGAGACUAUGAAGCGGCGUCGCUAGAUGUCGUGGAGUCAACCUUGAAAUACCACCCUGAUGUUGUUGAGGUUCUAACCUAGGUCCAUAAUCUGGACUGGGGACCGUGUAUGGUGGGCAGUUUGACUGGGGCGGUCUCCUCCCAAAGAGUAACGGAGGAGUGCGAAGGUAACCUAGGWAAAAUAAAAAUAAGGUACWAAAAAAGAAAUGGCAUAAGGUUGCUUGACUGCGAGACGGACAGGUCGAGCAGGUGCGAAAGCAGGUCAUAGUGAUCCGGUGGUUCUGUAUGGAAGGGCCAUCGCUCAACGGAUAAAAGGUAACUCUGGGRRUAACAGGCUGAUUCCUCCCAAGAGUUAGAAUUUAGAAAAAGAAAGGGAAGUAAAUAGAUAGAGGUUGAAUUACUAGUAAAUAUAUAAAAGUGUGAUAAGAAGAA